CAUGCCGUAAACGGUGGGCGCUAGGUGUGGGUUUCCUUCCACGGGAUCCGUGCCGUAGCUAACGCAUUAAGCGCCCCGCCUGGGGAGUACGGCCGCAAGGCUAAAACUCAAAGGAAUUGACGGGGGCCCGCACAAGCGGCGGAGCAUGUGGAUUAAUUCGAUGCAACGCGAAGAACCUUACCUGGGCUUGACAUAUACAGGACGGGCGUAGAGAUACGUCUUCCCUUGUGGCUAGUAUACAGGUGG
rnacentral:rRNA from 1 species